UACGGGAGGCAGCAGUGGGGAAUAUUGCGCAAUGGGGGAAACCCUGACGCAGCGACGCCGCGUGCGGGAUGAAGGCCUUCGGGUUGUAAACCGCUUUUGAUUGGGAGCAAGCCUUCGGGUGAGUGUACCUUUCGAAUAAGCGCCGGCUAACUACGUGCCAGCAGCCGCGGUAAU
rnacentral:rRNA from 1 species